rnacentral:misc_RNA from 1 species
GAAAUGCGAUAAGUAGUGUGAAUUGCAGAAUUCAGUGAAUCAUCGAAUCUUUGAACGCACAUUGCGCCCCUUGGUAUUCCAUGGGGCAUGCCUGUUCGAGCGUCAUCUACACCCUCAAGCUCUGCUUGGUGUUGGGCGUCUUUGUCCCGCCUCCGCGCGCGGACUCGCCCCAAAUUCAUUGGCAGCGGUCCUUGCCUCCUCUCGCGCAGCACAUUGCGCUUCUCGAGGUGUCGCGGCCCGCGUCCAGAAAGCAAUCGUUACCGUCUUUGACCUCGGAUCAGGUAGGGAUACCCGCUGAACUUAAGC